UAGGGAAUCUUCCGCAAUGGGCGAAAGCUUGACGGAGCAACGCCGCGUGAGUGAUGAAGGUCUUCGGAUCGUAAAACUCUGUUAUUAGGGAAGAACAAAUGUGUAAGUAACUAUGCACGUCUUGACGGUACGUAAUCAGAAAGCCACGGCUAACUACGUGCCAGCAGCCGCGGUAAUACGUAGGUGGCAAGCGUUAUCCGGAAUUAUUGGGCGUAAAGCGCGCGUAGGCGGUUUUUUAAGUCUGAUGUGAAAGCCCACGGCUCAACCGUGGAGGGUCAUUGGAAACUGGAAAACUUGAGUGCAGAAGAGGAAAGUGGAAUUCCAUGUGUAGCGGUGAAAUGCGUAGAUAUAUGGAGGAACACCGGUGGCGAAAGCGGCUCUCUGGUCUGUAACUGACGCUGAGGCUCGAAAGCGUGGGGAGCGAACAGG
rnacentral:rRNA from 1 species